UAUUAACUUGUCUUUUACCGUCAUUUUCAAUAUGGUAUCUUUGCACAGAGACAAUAUUCACGGGUUUCGCUUCACAUUAAUUUACUGCGAGCCCUAAUUCUUUAAUAAAUUCAUCCGUUAAAAACUCACAUACGCUCCUGUUUCUAGGAGUGCUGCCACUUUUGCAUAUGUAUUAUCAUGAGUAGUGCGAUCUGCCACCAAAGUUACCCUUGAGCUAUGUUGAUUAUAGCCUUCUUUUCAUUAUUUUCAAGGUCACUCUCUUGUUCGUCAUAGCCUUCUUUUCCUUAUAUUUAUGUGAGGCGGUUACUCCCUUGUUCGUUAUAGCCUUCAUCUUAUUAUAUUAAAGGUUACUCCCUUGUUCGUUAUAGCCUUCAUCUUAUUAUAUUAAAGGUUACUCCCUUGUUCGUUAUAGCCUUCAUCUUAUUAUAUUAAAGGUUACUCCCUUGUUCGUUAUAGCCUUCAUCUUAUUAUAUUAAAGGUUACUCCCUUGUUCGUUAUAGCCUUCAUCUUAUUAUAUUAAAGGUUACUCCCUUGUUCGUUAUAGCCUUCAUCUUAUUAUAUUAAAGGUUACUCCCUUGUUCGUUAUAGCCUUCAUCUUAUUAUAUUAAAGGUUAGUCCCUUCUUCGUUAUUGCCUUCAUCUUAUUAUAUUAAAGGUUACUCCCUGUUUUGUUCUUC